AAACCAGCACCUCAAGUGGUCAGGAGGAUUAUUGGGCCUAAAGCAUCCGUAGCCUGUUCUAUAAGUUUCCGGUUAAAUCCACUAGCUCAACUAGUGGGCUGCCGAAAAUACUGUAGAACUAGGGAGUGGGAGAGGUAGACGGUAUUCGGUAGGAAGGGGUAAAAUCCUUUGAUCUAUUGAGGACCACCUGUGGCGAAGGCGGUCUAUCAGAACACGUCCGACGGUGAGGGAUGAAAGCUGGGGGAGCAAACCGGAUUAGAAACCCUGGUAGUCC
rnacentral:rRNA from 1 species